CCUACGGGGGGCAGCAGUGGGGAAUAUUGGACAAUGGGCGAAAGCCUGAUCCAGCCAUGCCGCGUGUGUGAAGAAGGCCUUCGGGUUGUAAAGCACUUUCAGUGGGGAAGAAAGCCUUGGGGCUAAUACCCUCGAGGAAGGACAUCACCCACAGAAGAAGCACCGGCUAACUCCGUGCCAGCAGCCGCGGUAAUACGGAGGGUGCGAGCGUUAAUCGGAAUUACUGGGCGUAAAGCGCGCGUAGGCGGUCUGAUAAGCCGGUUGUGAAAGCCCCGGGCUCAACCUGGGAACGGCAUCCGGAACUGUCAAGCUAGAGUGCAGGAGAGGAAAGUAGAAUUCCCAGUGUAGCGGUGAAAUGCGUAGAGAUCAGGAGGAAUACCAGUGGCGAAGGCGGCUUUCUGGACUGUCACUGACGCUGAGGUGCGAAAGCGUGGGUAGCAAACAGGAUUAGAUACCCUUGUAGUC
rnacentral:rRNA from 1 species